rnacentral:rRNA from 1 species
CAGUAGCCGCGGGAAUACGUAGGUGGCAAGCGUUGUCCGGAAUUAUUGGGCGUAAAGGGCUCGCAGGCGGUUUCUUAAGUCUGAUGUGAAAGCCCCCGGCUCAACCGGGGAGGGUCAUUGGAAACUGGGAAACUUGAGUGCAGAAGAGGAGAGUGGAAUUCCACGUGUAGCGGUGAAAUGCGUAGAGAUGUGGGGAACACCAGUGGCGAAGGCGACUCUCUGGUCUGUAACUGACGCUGAGGAGCGAAAGCGUGGGGAGCGAACAGGAUUAGAGACCCCCGUAGUCCCUGUCUCUUAUACA